rnacentral:rRNA from 1 species
GACGAACGCUGGCGGCGUGCUUAACACAUGCAAGUCGAACGAUGAAGCCGGAGCUUGCUCUGGUGAAUUAGUGGCGAACGGGUGAGUAACACGUGAGUAACCUGCCCUUGACUCUGGGAUAACUGCGGGAAACUGUAGCUAAUACCGGAUACGACCCUCGGAGGCAUCUCCUGGGGGUGGAAAGAAUUUCGGUCAAGGAUGGACUCGCGGCCUAUCAGCUAGUUGGUGAGGUAAAGGCUCACCAAGGCGACGACGGGUAGCCGGCCUGAGAGGGUGACCGGCCACACUGGGACUGAGACACGGCCCAGACUCCUACGGGAGGCAGCAAUGGGGAAUAUUGCACAAUGGGCGCAAGCCUGAUGCAGCAACGCCGCGUGAGGGAUGACGGCCUUCGGGUUGUAAACCUCUUCUAGCAGGGAAGAAGCGAAAGUGACGGUACCUGCAGAAAAAGCACCGGCUAACUACGUGCCAGCAGCCGCCGUAA